GACGAACGCUGGCGGCGUGCUUAACACAUGCAAGUCGAACGGAAAGGCCCUGCUUUUGUGGGGUGCUCGAGUGGCGAACGGGUGAGUAACACGUGAGUAACCUGCCCUUGACUUUGGGAUAACUUCAGGAAACUGGGGCUAAUACCGGAUAGGAGCUCCUGCUGCAUGGUGUGGGUUGGAAAGUUUCGGCGGUUGGGGAUGGACUCGCGGCUUAUCAGCUUGUUGGUGGGGUAGUGGCUUACCAAGGCUUUGACGGGUAGCCGGCCUGAGAGGGUGACCGGCCACAUUGGGACUGAGAUACGGCCCAGACUCCUACGGGAGGCAGCAGGGGGGAAUAUUGCACAAUGGGCGGAAGCCUGAUGCAGCAACGCCGCGUGCGGGAUGACGGACUUCGGGUUGUAAACCGCUUUCGCCUGUGACGAAGCGUGAGUGACGGUAAUGGGUAAAGAAGCACCGGCUAACUACGUG
rnacentral:rRNA from 1 species